UACGUAGGGGGCAAGCGUUGUCCGGAAUCAUUGGGCGUAAAGCGCGUGUAGGCGGCUCGGUAAGUCUGCUGUGAAAGUCCAGGGCUCAACCCUGGAAUGCCGGUGGAAACUGUCGGGCUAGAGUCCGGAAGAGGCGAGUGGAAUUCCUGGUGUAGCGGUGAAAUGCGCAGAUAUCAGGAGGAACACCAAUGGCGAAGGCAGCUCGCUGGGACGGUACUGACGCUGAGACGCGAAAGCGUGGGGAGCGAACAGG
rnacentral:rRNA from 1 species